AUGAACGCUGGCGGCGUGCCUCAUACCUGCCAGUCGCGCGAACAGACGAGGAGCUUGCUCCUCUGAUGUUAGCGGCGGACGGGUGAGUAACACGUGGAUAACCUACCUAUAAGACUGGGAUAACUUCGGGAAACCGGAGCUAAUACCGGAUAACAUGUUGAACCGCAUGGUUCAACAGUGAAAGACGGUCUUGCUGUCACUUAUAGAUGGAUCCGCGCCGCAUUAGCUAGUUGGUAAGGUAACGGCUUACCAAGGCAACGAUGCGUAGCCGACCUGAGAGGGUGAUCGGCCACACUGGAACUGAGACACGGUCCAGACUCCUACGGGAGGCAGCAGUAGGGAAUCUUCCGCAAUGGGCGAAAGCCUGACGGAGCAACGCCGCGUGAGUGAAGAAGGUCUUCGGAUCGUAAAACUCUGUUAUUAGGGAAGAACAAAUGUGUAAGUAACUAUGCACGUCUUGACGGUACCUAAUCAGAAAGCCACGGCUAACUACGUG
rnacentral:rRNA from 1 species